rfam:Chloroflexi bacterium RBG_19FT_COMBO_55_16 rbg_19ft_combo_scaffold_2541, whole genome shotgun sequence.
GCCCCCAUAGCUCAGUGGAUAGAGCGCUACCCUCCGGAGGUAGAAACCCGCGUUCGAGUCGCGGUGGGGGUA